rnacentral:lncRNA from 1 species
UAGCAAAUCCAAACAAUGAGAUCCGUCUUUUUUUUUUUCAAACCAUAAACAAGAAGCUUAAACAAUUGCUUUCAAACCAAUAACCAUUUACCUUGCAAAGUCAUAAAACUCAAGCAAACUUUCGGUUCUCACCGUAUCCACAUGCGAUUCACCUUUCUUUUUUCAAUAUGACAAAGCAUCAAACAAACAAAAUCAUGGCAUACAAGACUUGACG